GUGGUUUAAUUCGAAGCAACGCGAAGAACCUUACCUAAGCUUGACAUCCCAAUGACAUCUCCUUAAUCGGAGAGUUCCCUUCGGGGACAUUGGUGACAGGUGGUGCAUGGUUGUCGUCAGCUCGUGUCGUGAGAUGUUGGGUUAAGUCCCGCAACGAGCGCAACCCUUGUCUUUAGUUGCCAUCAUUAAGUUGGGCACUCUAGAGAGACUGCCAGGGAUAACCUGGAGGAAGGUGGGGAUGACGUCAAAUCAUCAUGCCCCUUAUGCUUAGGGCUACACACGUGCUACAAUGGGUAGUACAGAGGGUUGCCAAGCCGUAAGGUGGAGCUAAUCCCUUAAAGCUACUCUCAGUUCGGAUUGUAGGCUGAAACUCGCCUACAUGAAGCUGGAGUUACUAGUAAUCGCAGAUCAGAAUGCUGCGGUGAAUGCGUUCCCGGGUCUUGUACACACCGCCCGUCACACCACGGGAGUUGGAGACGCCCGAAGCCGAUUAUCUAACC
rnacentral:rRNA from 1 species